rnacentral:lncRNA from 1 species
UGUAAAUAUAUUUUCCAAAUGAUUACAAGAUUAAUUUUCUUUAUAAUUAAUUUAUUUUAAUUUGAUUAAAUAAUAAUUAUGUUAUUUAUUUAUUUAAUUUUUAUAAUUGCCUUUUUUUAUAUAAUUUAAUAAUUGAAUAGAUAAUGUUGUCCGAAAUUAACAAUUCUUUUUUUUCCUUUUAUUGUUCUUUUACUUUUGAUUUUGUUUCGAAUUUAUUUAAAUAAUAUUUAUAUUCUUUAAUGUUUUUGAAAAUGUAUUUAAUUUGAUUUUUUUAAAAUAUAUUUUCCAAAUAUAUUAUUUGUGAUUAAUUUUCUUUAUAACUAAUUUAUUUUAAUGCGUAUUGUAUGGUAGUUAGAAUUCGGUUCCCUUGAUUUUAUGAUAUUAUGCUUUCUUUUGUUAUCUAUUGUUCGAUAUUCUAACAUUUGAAUUUUUGCAAGAUGGAGUAUCAUUUAGAUGGGGAAUUGAGACGGAUGGCGAGGAAGGCUACUUGGAACAAUAGCUUUGAGAGUUUUACUGCUGUGUUGGAGCUGCUCGUUGAUCAGCACACAGAUAUGCUACGACAGUCCUUCUUAUGGCCACUUUACCAAUUGUGAGAGGUGCAAUACUCAGGACAGAUCAUCGAUGCACUUCUAUGUCGGCUUCUGAGGCCAAUCGACGGCGAUUCCCUCCAGUUCGACCUCGGGGGCAAGGUUGUCAGUUUCUCGACAUUUGAGUUUACAUUGAUCACUGGACUGAGGAUUACGGGCGACGAUACAUCCAUUGAGAGAAGCAAUAGGUUGUACGGGACGUACUUCUAGGGACAUGGGUCGGUG